AACAGGAUUAGAUACCCUGGUAGUCCACGCUGUAAACGAUGUCGACUUGGAGGUUGUUCCCUUGAGGAGUGGCUUCCGGAGCUAACGCGUUAAGUCGACCGCCUGGGGAGUACGGCCGCAAGGUUAAAACUCAAAUGAAUUGACGGGGGCCCGCACAAGCGGUGGAGCAUGUGGUUUAAUUCGAUGCAACGCGAAGAACCUUACCUACUCUUGACAUCCAGAGAACUUAGCAGAGAUGCUUUGGUGCCUUCGGGAACUCUGAGACAGGUGCUGCAUGGCUGUCGUCAGCUCGUGUUGUGAAAUGUUGGGUUAAGUCCCGCAACGAGCGCAACCCUUAUCCUUUGUUGCCAGCGAUUCGGUCGGGAACUCAAAGGAGACUGCCAGUGAUAAACUGGAGGAAGGUGGGGAUGACGUCAAGUCAUCAUGGCCCUUACGAGUAGGGCUACACACGUGCUACAAUGGCAUAUACAAAGAGAAGCGACCUCGCGAGAGCAAGCGGACCUCAUAAAGUAUGUCGUAGUCCGGAUUGGAGUCUGCAACUCGACUCCAUGAAGUCGGAAUCGCUAGUAAUCGUGGAUCAGAAUGCCACGGUGAAUACGUUCCCGGGCCUUGUACACACCGCCCGUCACACCAUGGGAGUGGGUUGCAAAAGAAGUAGGUAGCUUAACCUUCGGGAGGGCGCUUACCACUUUGUGAUUCAUGACUGGGGUGAAGUCGUAACAAGGUAACC
rnacentral:rRNA from 1 species